AUGAUUGCAGAAUUUGAUAUGGUAAUGCAAGAUCACCUUAGACGUGUUGAGAACAAGGAAACCCAUUAUCACUAUCUCAGUCAUAAAAUACAAAAUGAGCUGAUAUCUCUUUUGGCUUCUGACAUCACAUGUUCUAUCAUAAAGGUUGUUAAAGAGGCCAAGUAUUUCUCUGUUAUCCUAGAUUGUACCCCUGAUGUUAGUCAUCAAGAACAAAUGACCUUUUUAGUUCGAUGUGUUAAUCUGUCUGAUGGCAAAAUAAAAAUUGAGGAGUACUUUCUGGGGUUCUUGAAAGUGGAUGACACUUCUGGCUUAGGGAUUUUCAAAGUACUGCUUGAUUCUAUUGAGUCUUUUGGCCUAAAUAUUCAAGAUAUAAGGGGUCAAGGAUAUGAUAACGGUUCUAAUAUUAAAGGAAAAUACCGAGGGGUACAAUCUAGGUUACUUGAUAUGAAUCCAAGAGCAUUAUAUAUGCCAUGUGCUUGUCAUAGCCUAAAUCUCACUCUCUGUGAUAUGGCAAAAUCAUGUGAGAAAGCUGUUUCAUUUUUUGGAAUUGUUCAACGCAUAUAUGUAUUAUUUGCUGGCUCUACAAAAAGGUGGAAUGUUUUGCUUAAACAUGUUCCUAGUUUGACCGUGAAAUCAUUGUCCAAUACUCGUUGGGAGAGUAGAAUCAAAAGUGUUACAUGA
rnacentral:rRNA from 1 species